GGGUGCAAUCAUACCAGCGUUAAUGCACCAGAUCCCAUCGGAACUUCGUAGUUAAGAGUGCUUUGGCUAGAGUAGUACUGGGAUGGGUGACCUCCCAAGAAGUCCUAGUUUUGCACCCU
rnacentral:rRNA from 1 species